rnacentral:tRNA from 1 species
GGCCUCGAAGCUCAGUUGGUUAGAGCGUUGGCUGUAUUAAUGCCUUCCCUCUGCUGGCGUGGUUAGAAUCCCACCGAGGUCA